rnacentral:rRNA from 1 species
UACGGGGGGGGGCAAGCGUUGUUCGGAAUUACUGGGCGUAAAGGGCUCGUAGGCGGCCAACUAAGUCGGACGUGAAAUCCCCAGGCUCAACCUGGGAACUGCGUCCGAUACUGGAUGGCUUGAAUCCGGGAGAGGGAUGCAGAAUUCCAGGUGUAGCGGUGAAAUGCGUAGAUAUCUGGAGGAAUACCGGUGGCGAAGGCGGCAUCCUGGGACCGGCAUUGACGCUGAGGAGCGAAAGCCAGGGGAGCAAACGGGG